UUGGUGAGAUAACAGCCCACCAAGGCGACGAUUGGUAGCCGAACUGAGAGGUUGAUCGGCCACAUUGGGACUGAGCCAUGAUCAAACUCCUACGGGAGGCAGCAGUGGGGAAUCUUCCGCAAUGGACGAAAGUCUGACGGAGCAACGUCGCGUGAGUGAAGAAGGUUUUCGGAUCGUAAAACUCUGUUUUCAGGGACGAAUGUGCCGAUCGUAAAUAAUGGUUGGUAAUGACGGUACCUGACAAGAAAGCCACGGCUAACUACGUGCCAGCAGCCGCGGUAAUACGUAGGUGGCAAGCGUUGUCCGGAAUUAUUGGGCGUAAAGCGCGCGCAGGUGGGAUAAUAAGUCUGAUGUUAAAGUUCGGGGCUCAACCCCGUGAAGCAUUUGGAUACUGUUAUUCUUGAGUGCAGGAGAGGAAAGUGGAAUUCCUAGUGUAGCGGUGAAAUGCGUAGAUAUUAGGAGGAACACCAGUGGCGAAGGCGACUUUCUGGACUGUGUCUGACACUGAGGCGCGAAAGCCAGGGUAGUGAACGGGAUUAGAUACCCCGGUAA
rnacentral:rRNA from 1 species